rnacentral:tRNA from 1 species
GCCGGGCUGUCCCAGGUGCUCGGAGACGCCGCGCUCGGAGCGCGCGGCGCGCCGCCCGGCGAGCGGCGGCGGCGCGCGCUCGGGCGCGCGGCCUGGCU